AGCGAACGCUGGCGGCAGGCCUAAUACAUGCAAGUCGAACGGAUCCUUCGGGAUUAGUGGCGGACGGGUGAGUAACACGUGGGAACGUGCCCUUUGGUUCGGAACAACUCAGGGAAACUUGAGCUAAUACCGGAUAAGCCCUUCGGGGAAGGAUUAUCGCCAUUGGAGCGGCCCGCGUCUGAUUAGCUAGUUGGUGGGGUAAAGGCCGUACCAAGGCGACGAUCAGUAGCUGGUCUGAGAGGAUGAUCAGCCACACUGGGACUGAGACACGGCCCAGACUCCUACGGGAGGCAGCAGUAGGGAAUCUUGCGCAAUGGGCGAAAGCCUGACGCAGCCAUGCCGCGUGAAUGAUGAAGGUCUUAGGAUU
rnacentral:rRNA from 1 species